rnacentral:misc_RNA from 1 species
UAUUUGGCCAUUAAAACAUGGUUAUUCUGAAAAAAAUUUAUCAGAGCCCAUUUGAGCAUAUAAAUCUAAAUUUCAACAACUGAAAGAAGAAAUGGGUACGACGACGGGACUCGCGCCGGGCCUAUCCCGGAAACUNNNNNNNNNCGUACGGACAAGCCAGAUCUGGUUUCUUCACUCCAUACUCUCUCUACUUUCUACUCGGACAACUCUCCUCAGGCUCGUCGCAAUCUCAGAUCCACCAUCGAGAAACGUUCUCUCUCUAUCAACCUCCAGUUUCUCCAUGCUUCCAACGCUGCUCAGCUCGCUUUAGAUCGUGUGGAGGAGGAAGUUAAUGCUCUAGCUGAAUGCUGCGACGAGAUUGCAAAGGCUUUGAACAGUUGUAGUGCUAGCACAGGAGAUAUUAUCAG